AACUCACCCAGCGCAUCCGACUGCACGUAAGUGCGCACCAGAACCCCCGCGUCGUCUUAGGGCCACCGCCUUAGUAUAGGCACAAGUCGGAGGGUCGAAAGGUCCCUUCUAGCUCAGGAAAAUCGAGGUCAGGAGGCGGGGAUAUUCGCCCCGAUUCAGACCCCGAACAAAGGUGCUUACCCUGCUGUGGGCUGGGCCCGCGACUUCUCGCUUGCUUUGCCUCUUUUCUGGAUCUUUUCAUAGAAGAAAAGGAUAAAUGAGCAGUUAAAAUAGCCACCCAAAGGAGGACGCCUGACAGUGUGCCCAGCCUGCUGGGAAAGGACAGACCGCCCUCUAUUGGGCCUCCUUUGGCCGGGCCCAGCCUUCGUAGGAUGCAGGGACUUCCGGGUGAUGUAAUAGGCUUCGCGUUCGCCACGUGUGGACUUCCCGUACCCUGAGGUGGGGAGGCUGCUAGUGGAGCAGGCUUGCCGGGAAGCCCAGUACUCCCAUUUCAAGCAUGAUCAGUUUGAAACGUCAGUAAGACCACAAAGCGUAGUGCCAUAUACUCAACCUAUGAUUCAACAUUGGCAGAGGGUUCGAGCGUGGAUAUAUAAAUUUGGGAGUUAUUACUGUAAACUGUUACUUCAAGUCAUGAUAUUGGGUGAGGCUAUGAAAAGAAUGAGCGUAGAUGGAUAAGUGACGGGAAAGAGGGGAACCCUGGCCCAACCCAGCAUUAACUGGUUGCAGACAGGAGAGUUUAUAAAGUCUUGUUAGGAAUUUUAACAAUCCUAGACUAUGCAAAGAUUAUAUUAUGCGAAGUCUUAGGAGUCCCCAUCAGUAACUUUUUUUUUUUCUUUUCAUGACUAUGAAAGUGAGAGAAUAAAGUCCAGCUUUCAAUGGUUUGACGAUAUAUAUGGUUAAGGAAAUAGAAAGGUGUGCAGAAAGUACUCUCCAAGAGAUUUAAUUUUGAGAUUGAAAAUAGUCAAGGAAUGGAGAUGGAGUCAAUUUCCUACACGAUGCGGUACUUUUGGAGAAAUAUUUUUGGCUAAAUUAGUGUGCAAGGAACACUGUUAUUCAUCACUGGCAAUAGUAAUUUUUGAAAAUUGAUAAAGACAUCAUUCUCUUUUUCACAUAUUUGUGACUCUUAAAUUUUUUUUUUUUUUUUUUUUUUUU
rnacentral:lncRNA from 1 species